CUGAAUCCAAUCUUGUGUAGCAAGGGUCUGUAGAACUUGGCCACACCACAUCAGCAGAGCACCUGCCUGCAGCUUACCCCUCCUGUGAGGAAAAAAUGAGGAAAGCUUUUGCCUCUUUGACCAUUUUGCUCUGGAAUGCUGGGUCCCUGCCGAGGAAGGACAGUCAUGCUCACUGAUUGGGCAUUGACCUUCAAGGGCAAAUGAGGACUUUAAGCUGAAACAUACAGACCUGUGGGUCCCCAGGAAGCCCUUCAGGGGGUGUGUGGGCACACAAAGUGUGAGCACAAUCAAUUUUCUCAGCUUCCAGGUGUACACUAUCCAACACAGGUCUGCCUGAGCGCCCUCCUACACAAUACUGAUUCUCCCGUCCACCUCCCCGCUCCCACUGCCUUGCACAUCCUCCAAAUACAGUAUUCUGCAUCUUUGGCAGUUACUUAAACGUAUGAUAAAAAGAAGCCUUUAAAUAUCAACUUUAAAAUUUGGCUCUGUGACUCUGCGGUCUUGGCCCUGUCCCACCCUUUCUGAGGUUCCUGCCUCCUCUGUAAGAUGGGGCCAACCAGCUCUGCUCUGCAGGAUGGUUGAAAGAUCAAAUGAGGGAGCCCCAGAAGUGGCCUGGCCUGCAGCCAGCCCUGGGUGAAUGGCGGAUGUUAUUUGCAUGGUUGGCAUCUGGAAAACCAUCUUGGCAUGUGGUCAGGGCUCCUUCAAUGUGAGCGCCCUUCCCCCUUAUUAAUGGCUCCCAGAUUUUAUCCCCAUGGAGCCCAGCUGUCUCAUGGAGGUUGGGAGUGUGAGGCAGGAAGGUUCCAACCCUCUGGUCUCCCCUUUUCCAACUUUUUCCAAGAAGACCUCACAGUGCGUCUCCCCCAACAGGCCUCGCCUCGAGUAAGGAAGCCUCAUGAUGGACCUUUCCCCUCUUUGAUUAUUUGAAGGCUCACUCUAGGUACACCAUAAAUAAGUCAAUGCAUCAGUGAGUACUGGAAACAGGGGAGUGAAUGAGGCAGGCAUUUCCCCCACCCUCACCAAACUCAUGGUCUACAUGUCACCAGACAAUUACAACACCAAUAGAUGCCACAGUAGUAAAAAAAAAAAAAAAAAAUAGAAGCCAUGCAAGCCCACAGAAAAGGCAGGCAGGAAGGGAAGGCUUCUUGGAGGAGGUGUGGUGUAAACUAAAAUAUAAUGGGAAAGUGGAAACCAGACAGCAGGCUUGUUUCUGAGCAGUGGGUUCAUGGGCCCGGAGGUAAGAAAGAGCACGCCAAACUCAGAACAGAAAAGGCUCCGUAAACUUGGCUGUGGAGAUGAAGGCUGCCCAGUGUUUUCUUCCCUUUUGUUGGUCCACCCAUAUGAUGGAAUGCUCUGGAAAACACAAAGGGUCUUCUACAUCUUCUGUUUAUCCAUAUGCUCCACUCUGCAGAUCUUCUCAUACCUCCUUGAGCCUGGGUAGCAGUGCACGGAACCCAGUCUAACCAGGAAAUGGGCUAACAGAGCCCCAUGCACUGGCCUCUAAGACUUGAACCCCUAGGAAGCCAUGCUGUGAAAUAUCAUUUCAUGCAUUAUUCCAAGAUAGGGAUGAUAUAGGUACAUUUCAUCUUCAGGGAGUAUACACCCCCAGUGGUCCUGGGACUCAGGCCAG
ensembl:lncRNA